rnacentral:lncRNA from 1 species
AAAUAAAUAAUAACUUUAUUAUUGCCUCUAGGGCAUAUUUCCUUCAAGAUCAUCAUCAAGUUCAUUAUCUAAAGAUACUCAAGAUCAUCAUCAUCAUUUAAACAUACUCAAGUUAAACAUCUAAAGAUCAUCAUCGGCGAAACUUCAUGAACAUAGAGAUUUGCAAGACAUGGAACAUCGUCAUCUAAAGAAACUAACAAGUAGGAACAUGAAAGGUAUGGCACGACGGCCACAUGCACGGGUAUCAUCAACGACAUCAGGCAAGACCACCGCCGCCAAAACCACCACCGCCAAGACCACCACCGCCAAAACCGCCACCGCCAAGACCACCUCCGCCAAAACCGCCACCACCAAGACCAGCACCACUCUGCCAGAUCGGAGUGACUGGGAUUGACGAAGCAGGAGUCAAGCCACUGGUCCCCUACAUGUUUGAGAGAAGAUUCUAACGGUAAAUAUGAUAUGAUAGUGUUGAAUGAACAAGAACUAGUUUGUCAGUAGUUAGGCAAAUGAACUAACCGGACUAUCACUGCCUAGUGCCACCCACUCAUCGAACAUGGG